GCUAGCGUAGCUUAAAAUAAAGCAUAGCACUGAAGAUGCUAAGAUAGGCCCUCAAAAGCCUCGCAUGCA
rnacentral:tRNA from 1 species